rnacentral:rRNA from 1 species
AUUGAACGCUGGCGGCAUGCUUUACACAUGCAAGUCGAACGGUAACAGGUUAAGCUGACGAGUGGCGAACGGGUGAGUAAUGCAUCGGAACGUGCCCGGUCGUGGGGGAUAACGCAGCGAAAGCUGCGCUAAUACCGCAUACGAUCUAAGGAUGAAAGCGGGGGACCGUAAGGCCUCACGCGAUCGGAGCGGCCGAUGUCAGAUUAGGUAGUUGGUGGGGUAAAGGCCCACCAAGCCAACGAUCUGUAGCUGGUCUGAGAGGACGACCAGCCACACUGGGACUGAGACACGGCCCAGACUCCUACGGGAGGCAGCAGUGGGGAAUUUUGGACAAUGGGCGAAAGCCUGAUCCAGCAAUGCCGCGUGCAGGAAGAAGGCCUUCGGGUUGUAAACUGCUUUUGUACGGAGCGAAAAGGUCUCCUCUAAUACAGGGGGCUCAUGACGGUACCGUAAGAAUAAGCACCGGCUACUACGUGCCAGCCGCCGCCGUAA